UUAAGCGACUAAGCGUACACGGUGGAUGCCCUGGCAGUCAGAGGCGAUGAAGGACGUGCUAAUCUGCGAAAAGCGUCGGUAAGGUGAUAUGAACCGUUAUAACCGGCGAUGUCCGAAUGGGGAAACCCAGUGCAAUUCGUUGCACUAUCGUUAACUGAAUACAUAGGUUAACGAGGCGAACCGGGGGAACUGAAACAUCUAAGUACCCCGAGGAAAAGAAAUCAACCGAGAUUCCCCCAGUAGCGGCGAGCGAACGGGGAGCAGCCCAGAGUCUGAAUCAGCUUGUGUGUUAGUGGAACGGUCUGGAAAGUCCGACGGUACAGGGUGAUAGUCCCGUACACCAAAAUGCACAGGUUGUGAACUCGAAGAGUAGGGCGGGACACGUGGUAUCCUGUCUGAAUAUGGGGGGACCAUCCUCCAAGGCUAAAUACUCCUGACUGACCGAUAGUGAACCAGUACCGUGAGGGAAAGGCGAAAAGAACCCCGGCGAGGGGAGUGAAAAAGAACCUGAAACCGUGUACGUACAAGCAGUGGGAGCACCUUCGGGUGUGACUGCGUACCUUUUGUAUAAUGGGUCAGCGACUUAUAUUCUGUAGCAAGGUUAACCGUAUAGGGGAGCCGCAGGGAAACCGAGUCUUAACUGGGCGUUAAGUUGCAGGGUAUAGACCCGAAACCCGGUGAUCUAGCCAUGGGCAGGUUGAAGGUUGGGUAACACUAACUGGAGGACCGAACCGACUAAUGUUGAAAAAUUAGCGGAUGACUUGUGGCUGGGGGUGAAAGGCCAAUCAAACCGGGAGAUAGCUGGUUCUCCCCGAAAGCUAUUUAGGUAGCGCCUCGUGAAUUCAUCUUCGGGGGUAGAGCACUGUUUCGGCUAGGGGGUCAUCCCGACUUACCAACCCGAUGCAAACUACGAAUACCGAAGAAUGUUAUCACGGGAGACACACGGCGGGUGCUAACGUCCGUCGUGAAGAGGGAAACAACCCAGACCGCCAGCUAAGGUCCCAAAGUCAUGGUUAAGUGGGAAACGAUGUGGGAAGGCACAGACAGCCAGGAUGUUGGCUUAGAAGCAGCCAUCAUUUAAAGAAAGCGUAAUAGCUCACUGGUCGAGUCGGCCUGCGCGGAAGAUGUAACGGGGCUAAACCAUGCACCGAAGCUGCGGCAGCGACACUAUGUGUUGUUGGGUAGGGGAGCGUUCUGUAAGCCUGCGAAGGUGACCUGUGAGGGUUGCUGGAGGUAUCAGAAGUGCGAAUGCUGACAUAAGUAACGAUAAAGCGGGUGAAAAGCCCGCUCGCCGGAAGACCAAGGGUUCCUGUCCAACGUUAAUCGGGGCAGGGUGAGUCGACCCCUAAGGCGAGGCCGAAAGGCGUAGUCGAUGGGAAACAGGUUAAUAUUCCUGUACUUGGUGUUACUGCGAAGGGGGGACGGAGAAGGCUAUGUUAGCCGGGCGACGGUUGUCCCGGUUUAAGCAUGUAGGCUGGUUAUCCAGGCAAAUCCGGAUAAUCAAGGCUGAGGUGUGAUGACGAGGCACUACGGUGCUGAAGUAACAAAUGCCCUGCUUCCAGGAAAAGCCUCUAAGCAUCAGGUAACAUUAAAUCGUACCCCAAACCGACACAGGUGGUCAGGUAGAGAAUACCAAGGCGCUUGAGAGAACUCGGGUGAAGGAACUAGGCAAAAUGGUGCCGUAACUUCGGGAGAAGGCACGCUGGUGUGUAGGUGAAGUCCCUGCGGAUGGAGCUGAGACCAGUCGAAGAUACCAGCUGGCUGCAACUGUUUAUUAAAAACACAGCACUGUGCAAACACGAAAGUGGACGUAUACGGUGUGACGCCUGCCCGGUGCCGGAAGGUUAAUUGAUGGGGUUAUCCGUAAGGAGAAGCUCUUGAUCGAAGCCCCGGUAAACGGCGGCCGUAACUAUAACGGUCCUAAGGUAGCGAAAUUCCUUGUCGGGUAAGUUCCGACCUGCACGAAUGGCGUAAUGAUGGCCAGGCUGUCUCCACCCGAGACUCAGUGAAAUUGAACUCGCUGUGAAGAUGCAGUGUACCCGCGGCAAGACGGAAAGACCCCGUGAACCUUUACUAUAGCUUGACACUGAACAUUGAGCCUUGAUGUGUAGGAUAGGUGGGAGGCUUUGAAGCGUGGACGCCAGUCUGCGUGGAGCCAACCUUGAAAUACCACCCUUUAAUGUUUGAUGUUCUAACGUUGGCCCCUGACCGGGGUUGCGGACAGUGUCUGGUGGGUAGUUUGACUGGGGCGGUCUCCUCCCAAAGCGUAACGGAGGAGCACGAAGGUUAGCUAAUCCUGGUCGGACAUCAGGAGGUUAGUGCAAUGGCAUAAGCUAGCUUGACUGCGAGCGUGACGGCGCGAGCAGGUGCGAAAGCAGGUCAUAGUGAUCCGGUGGUUCUGAAUGGAAGGGCCAUCGCUCAACGGAUAAAAGGUACUCCGGGGAUAACAGGCUGAUACCGCCCAAGAGUUCAUAUCGACGGCGGUGUUUGGCACCUCGAUGUCGGCUCAUCACAUCCUGGGGCUGAAGUAGGUCCCAAGGGUAUGGCUGUUCGCCAUUUAAAGUGGUACGCGAGCUGGGUUUAGAACGUCGUGAGACAGUUCGGUCCCUAUCUGCCGUGGGCGCUGGAGAAUUGAGGGGGGCUGCUCCUAGUACGAGAGGACCGGAGUGGACGCAUCACUGGUGUUCGGGUUGUCAUGCCAAUGGCACUGCCCGGUAGCUAAAUGCGGAAGAGAUAAGUGCUGAAAGCAUCUAAGCACGAAACUUGCCCCGAGAUGAGUUCUCCCUGAGACUUUAAGUCUCCUGAAGGAACGUUGAAGACGACGACGUUGAUAGGCCGGGUGUGUAAGCGCAGCGAUGCGUUGAGCUAACCGGUACUAAUGAACCGUGAGGCUUAACCU
rnacentral:rRNA from 1 species